UUCUUCGGGGCAGGGUGAAAUUCCCGAUCGGCGGUACAGUCCGCGACUCGCUAAAGCGAUUGAUUUGGUGCAAUUCCAAAACCGACAGUAUAGUCUGGAUGGUAGAGAAG
rnacentral:ncRNA from 1 species